CGGGAUGUAGCGUAGCCCGGUUAUAUUGCGUCCCGAUUGAGAUCGGGAAGGUUGCAAGUUAAAAUCUUGCCAUCCGA
rnacentral:tRNA from 1 species